rnacentral:sRNA from 1 species
AGUUUGCUUCUGGCCCGGGCGAGAACCUGUACUCUGGGCAAGCCAGGGGUCGGUACAGGACUCCUAUACCCCAAGGCGAGGCGGAGGCAGGUGCCGAGCGGUGGCCAGAGUCCGGCGCCCAAAGCCCGAUGGGAGGGCGUGGCGGGGGAGGACGGUCCCGCCAGCUCCCAGCGUGACGACAGCAUGUACGAUCCCUGAAUGGGCCUGUGGGCAUAUUUAGUCAUUCAUUUUUGAUCAGGAGAAAGAAGACAGCCAUCAUUUGGAAGGUAAAGCUUCUGUGACUGAAGGAGUGUGGACUUUUUGAAUUUCAAGAACAGUAAAGUUGGAACACAGUAGAGGGUGUGUAAUAAAAUACAGAUUGGAAAGAAGACUGAUGAAGAAAAAUAACAGCAUGAUUCAGGCACACCAUUGAGUUCUUUGGGAUGCCCAAAAGUGUCUGGUUGGGAAACAUGAAAUAGAAGACAAGAACCUGCCUCAGCAAGCGUACCUGAGAAUACUUUUAAAGGAACCUGUUGAUAAAUGCAAAACAGUAGCUGUUGCAG